ensembl:lincRNA Gm5546 predicted gene 5546
GGAAUAGGCACCCUCAAACCCGUGUGUUCUGUACUUCAUGCUGGCUACCAGGAACCAGGUGGCGAAAUGCCCUUGUUCCUUAUGGCUGCCCACAAAACUCACCUUAAUUCUCUUGAGGUCAAGAUGGAUAACCGCAGCCAAGAUCCAUGCUUUCAGGAUUCUGUGGAGGAGCGAAGGGCAGCUUUUCUACAUGCCUCCUCCUGGGACAAGCAUCUCUGGACCCAGACUCGGACCUCUUCCCGUUUCUCUCCGUGCUUCCUGUAUACCGUGAGAGAAAGAACCCUUUCUGUGGCAUGCCCCUGUCUCCGUGAUUUUCUGCCCAACGUGCAUGGCAGCAAAGCAUCAUGGUCUGAAUACUGUAUGCCUUGACACACCAGGUUUUGUCUCAGUUUGCUAUCUCCUUAGCAGGACUCCCAAAGCUAUAAAUACUCCCUCUCCCACGCAUAUUGGACUCAUGAGUAACACACCCUCAAGGUCUGUAGAGUUCACAGAGGAGAGCACUCUCCCUCACCCCUGCCCGAAGGCCUAUUUAAAACUAGAGCUGAAUUUCAAUUACCUUUGCUCAGACAGUUUCUCCACACACCCUCGGAGAUAACAUUUACAAAUGACAUUGAGAGUCCUGGCCAAGAGACCUGAAGACAAAAGUUGGCACGAAUGUCAGACGUUAGAGGCUUACCAUGGUCUGGGGAAUUCCCACCUGGCUUUCCCUGGGCAGCACUGCUAACUUGAAAUUUCCUACUUGGGAUUUAUGGUUGGUGGGGGAAGAGGUAAGAUCCUCUCAGUUGUGUGCAAUCAGUUGUUCCAAUUCAACAAGCCCUCCCCUUCUUUAACAACCAUGAUGAUUCUCAACAAAGGUAAUUUUCUGCUUCUCUGACUCAAUUCAAUUUAUCUUUUUAAAAGCAAUUAGCGCCCCUUUAAACUUCCUUUAUGCUCAGACUAAUUGUGCUUAGUUUAGGAGCUAAACCACCCCUUCCCAACUCCAGUAAUAUCUAGUUGAAGUACAGGCCAGACCCCAAGUACACAUUUUGGUUAACUGUCUCCUUAGCUUUAUAAUUAUUUAAAUUUCCACCAAUGGGACAAAGAGGUGGGAUCCAUUUUUAUUUUAAGGCUUUCCAGAGUAUAAGGUGGUUUCCAAUUAGCUGAACAUCAGAGGAACUGGAAACUGCACACCAGGGGACUUAAAUAUGCAUUAGGAAAAAAUUCCACUGCACACUUGAAGCUAGUUGGUAGGCGCACACAUAUCAGACAGGCCAGGGAACUUGUAUUUUUCCUCUGUAAACCAACACUACAUAUUUACUUAAGCUGGGUAAGGCAAUCUGAACUCACCAACAUGCUGACCCGAUUAGAUAGAUCUUCUUAGGUGGCAGCCAGCUUUCAAGAAGACCUAGGUGUGAUGGGAAAGUAGCUGGUCCCUGGGAUGCACCUUGCUUCCAGCGGAGAGAGUUGAAAGAGAAUCAUAGAAUUUUGAGCUCCAGUCAUCGCAGUAUAGAGAUAACCCUGACUUUGCAGACUAGCAAUGUGGAAAGGGAAUGCUAAUGUGUUCUUUCCAUUGCAGAGACGGAUGGUGCUUGACACAUGCAUUACCUUGGAACAAGCUGAAGAACCGAAGCAACAGAAUGCCCCCUACCCCACCAAGAGAGAUGUCACUGGUGUGGAGAAGGGCCUAGAGACUGAUACUUUUUUUUUUUUAAAGAUCACAUUUAUUUAUCUGUGUGUAUGUGCAUAAAUGUAUGUGGGUAUGUGUAUGCUAUGUCAUGUUAGGAGAUUAGAGGGCAACAUGCAGGAAUUGGUUCUCUCUUUCCACCAUGUAGAUCCAGGGGAUAAAAAUCAGGUCAUAUUGGGUUUGGUGGCAAGUGCCUUUACUUGCUGAGUCAUCCCUCUUACCCUACCACUGGGAUCUACCUACCUACCUAUCUAUCUAUCUGUCUGUCUGUCUGUCUAUCUAUCUAUCCAUCCAUCCAAGUAAGCAUCUAUCUAUCAUCAUCUAUUUAUCAUCUAUCAAUCUAUCUCUAUUUUAAGAUUUAUGUUUAGCCAGAUGUAGUGGUGUGGCAGUGUGGUGGUAAUUCCAAUGCUCAAGAGGCAGAGGCAGGUGAAUCUCUGUGAUUUUUGAGGCCAGGCUAGACUAUGUAAUGAGUUUCAGGCCAGCUAAAGCUAUGUGUAUAUAGCAAGUUCUUCUCUCAAACAACAAAACCAACAAAGAUUUAUUUUUAUUUUAAUUAUGUAUCUGUGUGUCUAUGUUCAUAUGUAGGUGAAAGCCAGAAAAGGAUGUUGGACCCCCUGGAACCAGAGUUACAGGUGGUUGUGAGCUGCCCUGGAUGGGUGCUGAGACUUGAAUUCAGGUCUUUGAAAGAGCUGCAAGCACUCUUAAGCACUAAGUCACCUCUCUACUACUGACACUAGGUUUUUAAACAUUCCUUUUCCCUAAUUUGAGUAGCAGGAGGGCGUAGCAAAGAGGCAACUGAGACAUAAGGCACACUGGACAAAUUAACAAGACACUUAUUGUAAUUCACUUGACCUCACCCACUACCAGCACCAACUCUCCAGUUUAAAGAGACUUAUUGAAACUCAACUCCCAGACUUUCCUGUUGAUUUAUAACUUAUAGCAUUCUUUUCUUCUUUAGCAGAGAGGCCUGGAACUGAUUUCAACUUGGCUCCUGGGGCCAGUGUAUUCAUUUGGUAAACAGAGAAUGGCCUUGCUGAAAUGUUGUAGAGGUUGUUGGAGCCAAAAGAAUCAUCUCAUCUCCUAGGAACCAAUUAGAAUUCCUGCAUGGCAAAAUUCCC